UUUCAAUUCCCUAUGUAUAUAUAUAUAUAUAUAUAUAUAUAUAUAUAUAUAAAUUUCUCAAAAUCAUUUUAAUUGCGACGCAUUUUCAAUGCAACGAUCCAAAACAUUUAAAAAUAAAUUAGAAAAUCAAGCAUAUAGAUGAGAAAUAAUCUUGAUACCAAAGGAUUCAAUUCCUUUGUGCCAUUGUGUUUUUAUCAUCGAUUUGUUUAUAUAUAUAUAUAUAAUAUAUAGGAUAAAAUUAUUUAUCCGGAAUUCAAUGAAUUAUGUAUAAUUAUCAUUGACAUUUUCAAUGAUAGAUUAUAAUGGUUUACAUUUAAUAUAGAUUACGUUAAAUGAUUUUUUAUGAAGUUUUCUUAAUUACGUAAUUUGUAGAGUCACAAAAUAGUAAAAUUUAAUUAUGCGGUCUCUACUAUCGGUACUAUUUACUGGUCUUUCAUAAAUUAUGGGACCAGAAAUACAAUAAAAUAAUAAUCACUUUGGUAUCAUCAUAAAAACUGCCCUUGUACAGUUACCGUUGCAGUAGAUCAUUUACGUAAUACAUUGUAAGGGAUCGUUCCGAUAUAUACGUUUGAUUAAUGUUAAAUUAUUGAAUAUGUUUGUCAUAAUUUAUAAAAUUGUGAGUAUAAAUUUUUGGAUCGAUGGUAAUAGCGUAACAAAUGAUCGCUUUCGUCUGUCUAUGUUGAAUUCUACUCAUGUGAUUAAAUAUAUAUAUAUAUACACACAUAUAUAUGUAUACUCCAAAGAAAUGUGUAUACUUUGUCCCACAAACGACAUAUUAAAAUAUUUUAAAUAUU